rnacentral:lncRNA from 1 species
CGUGCCCGUCAGCAGCGACACGAUCAUGUCCUUGUACCUGCACGCAGCACGCAGCACGCAGCACGCAUAUAUGGUAUCAGAAUUAUUAUAUGUUUAGACGAAAAAUACUUGAUCAGUUUGUGUUUUUUCCAUGAAUGCAUGCAUGAAAAAUGACAAGAUUCUCCUUAUUAUUUGUCGAUGGAGGGGCCGUUUCGAUCGCUCUCUUUUCGCUUUCAGGUUUUGGUGAGCGACUCUCUGCACUAACAAGGACAUUCCGGCUAAAUGCCAGUACUAAGUGCUCGUCAUGCCGAUUCUUCAGUCUUCUCAUACGUACCCGAUGACAGCAGCUUCCUAGCUGAACUUUUUAAUUUUUUUAUCCCCGGCUUUCCGCAUUAACGGUCUGCUGAUGUUCAUUCCGUCAAGCAUUGCAUUAAUUAAGGAUAACUAGUUCAACUGAUCUCACUAGUCCCAUUCAAAGAUAUUGUAAACCUCAUCCCAACUUAAGGCACCCGAUAAUCAUGAAAUUUUGGAAGAAAAACAUGUGCUUUCCUUUCGAAAUGAACUUGGAUUUUAUGCCUUAUAUAUAUAUGGUCAUUGUCUUGUUGAUAGGAUUUCAUGCAGCUUUGAUCGAUCCUCACCU